UAGGGAAUCUUCCGCAAUGGACGCAAGUCUGACGGAGCAACGCCGCGUGAGUGAAGAAGGAUUUCGGUUCGUAAAACUCUGUUGUUAGAGAAGAACAGCGCAUAGAGUAACUGUUAUGCGUGUGACGGUAUCUAACCAGAAAGCCACGGCUAACUACGUGCCAGCAGCCGCGGUAAUACGUAGGUGGCAAGCGUUGUCCGGAUUUAUUGGGCGUAAAGCGAGCGCAGGCGGUCAAUUAAGUCUGAUGUGAAAGCCCCCGGCUCAACCGGGGAGGGUCCUUGGAAACUGGUUGACUUGAGUGCAGAAGAGGAGAGUGGAAUUCCAUGUGUAGCGGUGAAAUGCGUAGAUAUAUGGAGGAACACCAGUGGCGAAGGAGUCUCUCUGGUCUGUAACUGACGCUGAGGCUCGAAAGCGUGGGUAGCAAACAGG
rnacentral:rRNA from 1 species